CUUAUCAUGGUAAACAGUUUAGAUGCAAUAUUGCAAAACGUUCUGUUAUACACUUUCGUAUUCUCUGUUUAAAUGCUUAUGCGUCAUUCACAUACACGAUUCGAAUACUCACAAGUUAGAUAUCGACAAGUAAAAACCGAGUUUCUUCAAAAACCAGCUAGUUGUCGAACAAAUGUCCAAACCACAAGACUGAAAAUUAACCUGAACUCUCCUUUUGACGGAAAGUUGCAUUCCAAACCGAUGAAACGGAUAACGUGAAACACCACACGGUCAUAGAUGACAAUUCCUUCUGACAGGUAUUGCCCGACCUGCACAUCGCAUCAGUUCAGGACAUUUGCUGCAUCGUUGCUACAGGAAUAAAAUAAACUAGGUAAUUGUUUAUUAAAAAUAAUAAUGUUGUAGCAUAUGAAAAGAUUACAAAAUGGUUUUAUGAAGUUUGUAUAAGUUGCUUGAAGAUUGCUACAUAUUUAAUCCAAGAAACAUUUUGAAAUGAUGCGAGUUCGCGCCAAAAUAUUGGCUGUUUUCUUUAAUAAUUUCAGCGGAGAUUCAAAUCUAGUUUAUAUCUAUUUAAUGGUUUAAAAGCUGUAAAUAAAUAGUUUUAAACAAUUAUGAGAUUCUUUUGAUAUGAUUCAUUAAACAGCGGAUUGGGACUGUAUAGAUCUGUCAUUGAUAUUGUAAUUAUAAUGAAGAAUAAUAGUACCUGCAGUGGCGGUGACUGAAUCACAUUUUGUUUUGAUAUAUUGUUGCCCUCUAUUAUAUAUUUAUAAAUAUGAUUCUAAAAUGCGUCAGUGUAGCAACCUGUGCGGUUUGUUUUUUGUACACUUUUUACAUUUUAUGCAACUUGACGUAUUUCUUGUCUAAUCAUAAAGAAAAUGAUGAAAUCGAAGUUGCAGCAGAAAAAGAUGACUCUGUUGAAUCGGUAUUAUGGUUAUUAAUUAUAAAUAUGUCCUUGCUGAGUGUCUUCAUGUUACAACAUACUCUUAUGGCUAGUGAUUUUGUAAAACAUUUAUUUUGUAAAAUGUAUAUGGAUUAUAUAGAGAGAAGUAUAUACAAUGUUAGCAGUGCCAUGGCCUUACAUUUACUGCUUGCUCAAUGGCAAAUUAUUCCAUCUAUGUCACUAUGGAAAAUGAAUACAUCUUCUAAUAAUACGUUAUGGUUCAUAUUUACUGGUAUUCAUGUUUUGGCUUGGUCAAUAAUUUAUAGUGGAUGUGUAAUGAUGGAUAUAUCUGAGCUCACAGGAAUAAAGCAGGUAUAUUAUAAAUUUUCAUCCAGACCAAGUCCUAUGUUGAUGAAAUCCAAAGAAUUACUUCGUUAUUAUUCUCAUAUGAGGCAUCCAAGUUUCACAGGCUUCCUCAUUAUCUUAUGGAUACAUCCUUAUAUGACAAUAGACAGAAUAUUGUUAGCUACAAUACUAACAAUUUAUAUGGCCUUGAUGUGGACCAUUGACAAAGAAGAUUACAAUUAUCAUGCUAGUUUAGUGAGAAGAAAACAGCAAGAAUUAUUUUGAUCUUUAUUUACACAGUCCGCUUUAUUGCCUCAGCCUUUGUGUUCAUUAUAUUUAAGUUAUAUAUAUGGAAGCAGAAUUGCAACAACAAAAUUUGUACUAUGCCCCGUUGUAGAUAAUACUCCUGCACGUACUGCUGUUUUGUAUAGGGGAGAAACAUAUC